rnacentral:rRNA from 1 species
UACGCAGGGGGCUAGCGUUGCUCGGAAUUACUGGGCGUAAAGGGCGCGUAGGCGGCACUGUUAGUCAGGCGUGAAAUUCCUGGGCUCAACCUGGGGACUGCGCUUGAUACGGCAGAGCUUGAGGAUGGAAGAGGGUCGCGGAAUUCCCAGUGUAGAGGUGAAAUUCGUAGAUAUUGGGAAGAACACCGGUGGCGAAGGCGGCGACCUGGUCCAUUACUGACGCUCAGGCGCGAUAGCGUGGGGAUCAAACAGG